UACGAAGGGGGCUAGCGUUGCUCGGAAUCACUGGGCGUAAAGAGCGUGUAGGCGGCCAAACAGGUCCGUUGUGAAAACUGGAGGCUCAACCUCGAGACGUCGAUGGAAACCAUCUGGCUAGAGUCCGGAAGAGGAGAGUGGAAUUCCUGGUGUAGCGGUGAAAUGCGCAGAUAUCAGGAAGAACACCUAUGGCGAAGGCAGCUCUCUGGGACGGUACUGACGCUGAGACGCGAAAGCGUGGGGAGCGAACAGG
rnacentral:rRNA from 1 species